CAGGCGGGCCCAGCCGGGCGCAGAGGGGCCCCGAGGGGCGCGUCAGGGCACCAUCGCCCCCGGCUCGGCCAGCACACGUCCAGGAGUCGCCCGGGAGGAGCGGAGGAAGCAGCGUGUGUCGUGGCUGCGGAGCAAUCCCACUCAGCUCUCCCUGAAGUAGUUUGGUCGGAGAUGAACCAUGGGAAGGCCACAAAGUAGCGCAAUGUAUGUUUGCACUGCAACCCCACUGUGCCAAUUAGCAGCCUAAAUCUGUUUGAAAUGACUCACACCCAGCUGGCUGAGAAAGCAUGAGCACGAAGGAAGUUUAGCCUUAUUGGUUACGAAACUCUCUGGCGAUGGGAUGAGCAGCCGAGGAAGUCACGUGAGUGAAGGAAGCCGAGGCCAGCGAGAGGUCUUGUCAGACUGAGAGGUGAACCGGGGAUAUGUGGUGAGAAAAGGAUUUAUGCAAGAGGCACAGCAGAGAGCGGGAAGGGAGGAAGUCCGGACAGCUCUGGAGGCAGCUUCUCCAACCCCCCAGCGUUAGUACGCUCACGCUGCAGCUGUCCCUGUGAGCAGUUCCAGAUGUUGACUUUCACCAGGAGCAGUGGAUGCUACAGUGAGAGGGUACAGAUAUAGACUGCUUGUAUAAUCUUAAACCGAAAUGGUCAAAACUUUGGAAGCUUCUCCCAUCUGUCAAACCAAAGAUGAAACAUGCAAAAAAAAAACCCAAACAAACAAACAAACAAACAAAAAAAAACUCUUCAUUGAAAGGUUCACUUGAUUUGCUGGUGAUGUUAUUUAGGCUGGAAGGGUUUCCUGAAGAAACAGGUGAUAUAGUCCUGAAGCAGACUGACCAUCUUCAUGGCAAUAAAGGCAAAUUAUUACUUCUUCAGAGCCUUCUAAAACCAACUCAGGGACAGAACAAAUCAAAAUCCUGUAUUACGAUUUUUUCAUUGUGAGGAAUCAUGUUUGGUUAUUGCAGAUACUACUUAUGCAACAUUUUUUUUUAAUGGCACUGUAUUUUACUCUGAGCAUUCUUUUAA